GAUGAACGCUGGCGGCGUGCCUAAUACAUGCAAGUCGAGCGAACAGAUGAGGAGCUUGCUCCUCUGACGUUAGCGGCGGACGGGUGAGUAACACGUGGAUAACCUACCUAUAAGACUGGGAUAACUUCGGGAAACCGGAGCUAAUACCGGAUAAUAUAUUGAACCGCAUGGUUCAAUAGUGAAAGACGGUUUUGCUGUCACUUAUAGAUGGAUCCGCGCCGCAUUAGCUGGUUGGUAAGGUAACGGCUUACCAAGGCAACGAUGCGUAGCCGACCUGAGAGGCUGGUCGGCCACACUAGAACUGAGACACGGUCCAGACUCCUACGGGAGGCAGCAGUAGGGAAUCUUCCGCAGUGGGCGAAAGCCUGACGGAGCAACGCCGCGUGAGUGAUGAAGGUCUUCGGAUCGUAAAGCUCUGUUAUUAGGGAAGAACAAAUGUGUAAGUAACUAUGCACGUCUUGACGGUACCUAAUCAGAAAGCCACGGCUAACUACGUG
rnacentral:rRNA from 1 species